GUGAGGAAUAUUGCGCAAUGGAGGCAACUCUGACGCAGCCAUGCCGCGUGCAGGAAGAAGGCGCUACGCGUUGUAAACUGCUUUUAACCGGGAAGAAACCCCAGGACGUGUCCUGGGUUGACGGUACCGGAGGAAUAAGCACCGGCUAACUUCGUGCCAGCAGCCGCGGUAAUACGAAGGGUGCAAGCGUUAUCCGGAUUCAUUGGGUUUAAAGGGUGCGUAGGCGGAGCGUUAAGUCAGUGGUGAAAUCCUGCAGUUUAACUGUAGACUUGCAAUUGAUACUGGCGUUCUUGAGUGCGCUUGAAGUGGGCGGAAUGUGCAGUGUAGCGGUGAAAUGCUUAGAUAUGGCACAGAACACCAAUUGCGAAGGCAGCUCACUAAGGCGAUACUGACGCUGAGGCACGAAAGCGUGGGGAUCGAACAGGAUUAGAUACCCUAGUAGUCC
rnacentral:rRNA from 1 species